CAAGGAUUCCCCUAGUAACUGCGAGUGAAGCGGGAAAAGCUCAAAUUUAAAAUCUGACGCGUCUUUGGCCGUCCGAGUUGUAAUCUGGAGAAGUGUUUUCUGUGUUGGACCGUGUACAAGUCCCUUGGAAUAGGGCGUCRUAGAGGGUGAGAAUCCCGUCUUUGACACGGACUGCCAAUGCUCUGUGAUACGCUCUCGAAGAGUCGAGUUGUUUGGGAAUGCAGCUCAAAAUGGGUGGUAAAUUCCAUCUAAAGCUAAAUAUUGGCGAGAGACCGAUAGCGAACAAGUACCGUGAGGGAAAGAUGAAAAGCACUUUGGAAAGAGAGUUAAACAGUACGUGAAAUUGUUGAAAGGGAAACGCUUGAAGUCAGUCGCGUCGUCCGGGACUCAGCCUUGCUUUUGCUCGGUGUACUUCCCGGUUGACGGGUCAACAUCGAUUUUGGUCGGCGGACAAUGGUGGGGGGAAUGUGGCACCUUUGGGUGUGUUAUAGCCUCCCGUCGGAYGCGUCGACUGGGAUCGAGGACCGCAGCACGCCUUUUUGGCCGGGGUUCGCCCACGUAACGUGCUUAGGAUGUUGGCAUAAUGGCUUUAAGCGACCCGUCUUGAAACACGGACCAAGGAGUCUAACAUGCCUGCGAGUGUUAGGGUGGCAAACCCUUGCGCGCAAUGAAAGUGAAAGUUGGGACCUCCGUCAUGGGGGGCACCGACGCCCGGCCUUGAACUUCUGUGACGGUGCCGCGGUGGAGCAUGCAUGUUGGGACCCGAAAGAUGGUGAACUAUGCCUGAAUAGGGCGAAGCCAGAGGAAACUCUGGUGGAGGCUCGUAGCGAUUCUGACGUGCAAAUCGAUCGUCAAAUUUGGGUAUAGGGGCGAAAGACUAAU
rnacentral:rRNA from 1 species